GACGAACGCUGGCGGCGUGCUUAACACAUGCAAGUCGAACGAUGAAGCCGGAGCUUGCUCUGGUGAAUUAGUGGCGAACGGGUGAGUAACACGUGAGUAACCUGCCCUUGGCUCUGGGAUAACUGCUAGAAAUGGUAGCUAAUACCGGAUACGACCCUCGGAGGCAUCUCCAGGGGGUGGAAAGAAUUUCGGUCAAGGAUGGACUCGCGGCCUAUCAGCUAGUUGGUGAGGUAACGGCUCACCAAGGCGACGACGGGUAGCCGGCCUGAGAGGGGGAGCGGCCACACUUGGACUGAGACGCGGCACAGACUCCUGCGUGAGGCAGCAGUGGGGAAUAUUGCACAAUGGGCGCAAGCCUGAUGCAGCAACGCCGCGUGAGGGAUGACGGCCUUCGGGUUGUAAACCUCUUUUAGUAGGGAAGAAGCGAAAGUGACGGUACCUGCAGAAAAAGCACCGGCUAACUACGUGCCAGCCGCCGCAGUAA
rnacentral:rRNA from 1 species